AUGGCGGAGCUGGGUGAAGCCGAUGAAGCAACGCUUGGUGGCUGCCCAACAGCAGAGGGCGCAGUUUACUGCACAGGUGCAUCAUUUCAUGGAACUGUGCUGGGAUAAGUGUGUGGAGAAGCCAGGGAAUCGCCUCGAUUCUCGCACUGAAAAUCUCUCCAGCUGUGUAGACUGCUUCAUUGACACCACUCUUGCCAUCAUCAGUCGGUUUGCCCAGAUUGUACAGAAAGGAGGGCAGUAGGCCAUCCCCUAGAAGAAUGACAGAAGCAAAUGACUUGUUAUUAAGCAGACUGAAGGGCCAGUGGGGGAAGGUCGUCAGCCCAUUGUCAGAUCAGCAUCAGGCUGUUAUCAAGUCUGUUGGUGCUAAAAAGUGAAAGAUGAAAUGUUUAA